AUGGCUCAUCUUCCCUUAAGUGCGAGGUGUGGAAGGAGAAAUGCAAUAUUUUUGAAUCUGACCACUUCCAUUAUGCUUGUAUACUAUUAUGUGUGGUUCACGUUUGCAUUAGCUUAUAGGAGAAAAUGUUGGCAAAUAGAAAGGAGAAUUAAAAUUAGAGAGUUAAGGGGAGAGAACUUGUAUCGACUAAUUGGUGAGAGCGACGCCAUGUGUAUAAGUCAACUUCAUAUGGAUAGGAGAACAUUUCGUAUAUUAUGUGAGAUGGUGAGAGAUAUUGGUGGUCUAAAGGAUACAGAGAACACACCAUUAGAGGAUAUAGUGGCAUCAUUCUUGUAUGUAUUAUCACACCAUCUCAAAAAUAGGACAGUAGGAAAAUUCUUGUAUCGAAGCCCUGAGCCAAUUAAUAGAAACUUUAACGCUUGUCUUUUAGCUGUCUUGAAGCUGCACCAUCUGCUACUUCAGAAGCCUGAACCUAUACCCGAGGAUUGCAGCGAUGAUAAGUGGAAGUAUUUCAAGAAUUUCCUUGGAGCGUUAGACGACACACACAUAGGCGUAACAGUCCCAGCUAAUCUGAAAGGAAGGUAUCGAUCAGUUGGGUGA
rnacentral:rRNA from 1 species